rnacentral:rRNA from 1 species
UGGGGAAUCUUCCGCAAUGGACGAAAGUCUGACGGAGCAACGCCGCGUGAGUGAUGACGGUCUUCGGAUUGUAAAGCUCUGUUAAUCGGGACGAAUGGUUUGUGUGCAAAUAGUACAUAGACAUGACGGUAUCGGAAUAGAAAGCCACGGCUAACUACGUGCCAGCAGCCGCGGUAAUACGUAGGUGGCAAGCGUUGUCCGGAAUUAUUGGGCGUAAAGCGCGCGCAGGCGGACUAGCCAGUCAGUCUUAAAAGUUCGGGGCUUAACCCCGUGAUGGGAUUGAAACUACUAGUCUAGAGUAUCGGAGAGGAAAGUGGAAUUCCUAGUGUAGCGGUGAAAUGCGUAGAUAUUAGGAAGAACACCAGUGGCGAAGGCGACUUUCUGGACGAACACUGACGCUGAGGCGCGAAAGCCAGGGGAGCGAACGGG